rnacentral:tRNA from 1 species
GGUUCUAUGGUGUAAUGGUUAGCACUUUGGACUCUGAAUCCAACAAUCCGAGUUCGAGUCUCGGUAGAACCU